GAAAUUGUUGGGCACCUAUUUGUGAGUGUAAUGCAAAGGAUUUGAGCAAAAUUAUAUGAAAUUGGAUUGGUUAUAAGAAUUGAUUGUGAAAAAUUAAAGGUACUUUGAAACAAGCAAAAAUACGAGAACAUGUCCAUAGUUUGCUUAUUAGUCCAAAAAGACAACUAAAGUAACAACUACGUGAGUAUAAAAUAUCAACACCCAAGUUAACAAUGACCAAAAGAACUUAUCUACUACCUUUAAAACUCGGAUUUUCACAUUGUUUAGCAAAUGUAAACAGUGAUUUCUCAAAGGAAUAGUGACUUCCCGAUUUUGCCCUUUUUUUUUAAAAAAUGCCCUUCUGUCUUCUUCUUUUAAUCCUUCUUCUGUAUGCAAUCAUCUUAUUUUUUCAUUUCACUUGAUAUUACUUCUCCAUAUUGUUUUUUUUUUUGCUUUCUUCGCUAUCGCCAUUGUUGAAGCAGAUUGCGAGAUGAGGAAGAAGAAGAAGAGAAUAGUAAGAGAAGUAUCCCAUUACUCAAUUAGUGACACUUGGAGUGUACUUCCAUUUGAAAAUGAUAAUAUGAGUGGAAGUACACUACGAAGUGUCACUCAUUAAGUCGUAGGGAUGUCAAUUGCCAAGAGCUACGAGUCAAGAGUGCAACAUAUUGUAAUAAUUAGAUUUAAAAUAAAUUCAAAUCAAAUCAAAUGCAUUUUCA